rnacentral:lncRNA from 1 species
AGUGAGCCAGCUCUCCAGAUGUUUGGAGCACUGGAAAUUGCUUCUCUAGUGGUGAAGAUAUGGAGCCCAGCUGCCAGGGGAAACAGCCACUUCCUAAUGUAACUGCUCAGAAAUGCUGGAGGAGAAAAUGAGGACCCCUGAAGAACAGACCAUUAAGUUCUACUGGCUAUUUACAACUCUUAUAGCUGGGGUGUUGGAUUGUGCUUUGAAGGUAGGUUUUAU